rnacentral:tRNA from 1 species
GAUUAAAUGACUGAAUUAUAGGUAAUAAAUUGUAAAUUUAUUUAUGGGUUAAAUAACUCUUUAAUCA